rnacentral:misc_RNA from 1 species
UCUUCCUGCAAUUAAUAGAAGUGGCAAUCCAUAAUCAAUUAUUUCUGGGAAAACCACACAAACAUCCAUGGCCACUCAAAAAGCAUGAUGGUGAAAUAACAGAUAUAUAUGAUGGAAAGAGUAAAAGCAUGAAAAGAAUAAUGCAAAUAUGAGGAAAAAAAUGUUUAAAUUACAAUAGCACACAAAUAGUUACCCCACACCUCCCUAUUAUCUCCCCCUCUAUUUUUUUUCUCUACUUUUAGAAGUGGACUUCCCACACGUGUGACUUGUUCAUCAGAUAACAUUAAUCCUGCUUAUCAAUAACAAUAAUAAUUUGAGAAAAACUAAUGUCCUAUAUAAGAAAGAGAGAAGAGAGAUGACCAAUGUCUUUUACAUUAGUGAUUAAACAUUUCCCAUGGAGAAGAAGAGAACAUUAAUUUCCCAUGCAGAGGAUCAGCUUAUCAUGAUAACUGGAAAACUGAUGGUGAAAAAGAUCACACGCUUAAACAAGCUUCUGGUUAAAGCAAACCCAAAAUAUUUAGACGUCAUGGAGAUGGGGCAACAUAAUUAUGAGCAAAGUCAUUAAUGGUGUGCCUGAGUUGCAUGGCAUAAGAGGCACAGCUCUAGCACCCAAACCCCUAAAAGGUGAGCAACCUUUAUGAGGCAUGCAAUUCUGCAAUAUUCAAUUCCGAAUGUAUUUGUGUUUUUUCAUUUUGAAAUCUUAACUAUUGAUCUGACUUUGCAAGUAACCAUAUCAUGAGAUCAUUCACACUGAAUCAAAUUAAAACAAUAAAAAGAAAG